rnacentral:rRNA from 1 species
AACGUUGGCCCCUGAUCGGGGUUGCGGACAGUGUCUGGUGGGUAGUUUGACUGGGGCGGUCUCCUCCUAAAGAGUAACGGAGGAGCACGAAGGUUGGCUAAUCCUGGUCGGACAUCAGGAGGUUAGUGCAAUGGCAUAAGCCAGCUUGACUGCGAGCGUGACGGCGCGAGCAGGUGCGAAAGCAGGUCAUAGUGAUCCGGUGGUUCUGAAUGGAAGGGCCAUCGCUCAACGGAUAAAAGGUACUCCGGGGAUAACAGGCUGAUACCGCCCAAGAGUUCAUAUCGACGGCGGUGUUUGGCACCUCGAUGUCGGCUCAUCACAUCCUGGGGCUGAAGUAGGUCCCAAGGGUAUGGCUGUUCGCCAUUUAAAGUGGUACGCGAGCUGGGUUUAGAACGUCGUGAGACAGUUCGGUCCCUAUCUGCCGUGGGCGCUGGAGAACUGAGGGGGGCUGCUCCUAGUACGAGAGGACCGGAGUGGACGCAUCACUGGUGUUCGGGUUGUCAUGCCAAUGGCACUGCCCGGUAGCUAAAUGCGGAAGAGAUAAGUGCUGAAAGCAUCUAAGCACGAAACUUGCCCCGAGAUGAGUUCUCCCUGACUCCCUGAGAGUCCUGAAGGAACGUUGAAGACGACGACGUUGAUAGGCCGGGUGUGUAAGCGCAGCGAUGCGUUGAGCUAACCGGUACUAAUGAACCGUGAGG